AUUGAACGCUGGCGGCAUGCCUUACACAUGCAAGUCGAACGGUAACAGGUCUUCGGAUGCUGACGAGUGGCGAACGGGUGAGUAAUACAUCGGAACGUGCCCGAGAGUGGGGGAUAACGAGGCGAAAGCUUUGCUAAUACCGCAUACGAUCUCAGGAUGAAAGCAGGGGACCGCAAGGCCUUGCGCUCACGGAGCGGCCGAUGGCAGAUUAGGUAGUUGGUGGGAUAAAAGCUUACCAAGCCGACGAUCUGUAGCUGGUCUGAGAGGACGACCAGCCACAACUGGGACUGAGACACGGCCCAGACUCCUACGGGAGGCAGCAGUGGGGAAUUUUGGACAAUGGGCGUAAGCCUGAUCCAGCAAUGCCGCGUGCAGGAUGAAGG
rnacentral:rRNA from 1 species